AGAGAGCUAAUCUGGCGCACGCAAAACCGUGCAACUGCACCAAGCUCGCCGUGUCGUUCAUAAACAACUUCCGUCAGCUUUCUCCUAACACAGAUGAGCAACAAAUAUCUGACUGGUCAGAACGGUGUUGAUUAACUUUCUAUAAGAAGAGCUCAGACAGAGAGUAUAUUAAUAUGUUAUGGUUUCCAUAGUAACAGCUCGUUCACAGGGACAUGUACGGCGGACGUGCCACGGAAACCCUGUGUAAUCUCUGAUACGAUGAUGCUUUCUGCGAGCUCCAGCGGUGUCCAGAUGUUAUGAAGUAUAUUGAGCCCUCACCAGACAGGCAGGCGGUGGAGUCCAUCCACUUGAGCAGCUGCCCGACGCUCAGCUCCUUGCGAUGGUUGGCGUGGCAAGGAAGUAUGAUCUGGCUCAUCUUCAUCUCCGUGGGGUUGCGAUACACUCGUCCGUCCUCCAUGACCAGGUCCGGCUCGUCCAGCUCCGCCAUCCUGUUGAUCUGAGUGUGGAAGAACAUGGUGCAUCAGCUGGGUGUUUGGAUGUUGUCUGUCAUGCACACUCUCCUGUGGAAGGGUUUUAUUACGGGUUCAAAGUGUUAUUUAGCUUUGGAAUGCGCACAUGGUGGGACUGAACCCAGGAAAGAACAGGAACGGCUGGAAAGAGUUUGGAAAGGAGGGUUUGAAAUGCACUUGUUCAUAGGUGCAUGUGGCAGCAUGUAGUGCUAUUUUGG